rnacentral:lncRNA from 1 species
CAAAAACAAUAAUCUGUUGACAUUCAAUAUUUUGGUUUUCUUUCUUCAGAAAAAAAUAUUGGAAAUAUCAAAUUUGAUUCAGGGAAGUUUCUGAAAUUUGGCUGAUCUGACACAGAAUGACCCAGCAUGAAAUAAGUAAUGUCAACAGCAUUUGUCAAUCAGCAACAGCAGCAGAACUGGUGUGAGAGUCUCCCCAGCUUUCAAGCUCCACUGCGUAUGUCUCAGGGAGACCAUCACGGAGACGGCUGGUGUGUUGAUCAACCUAACACACAAGAGCACAACUUUGCUGUCCUGAGACCCUCAGAGGACCACCUAGGAAGAGCCCAGAGUAAGUUAAUUGCACAUAAAUCCACUUAAGUAAUUUUUAAAAUUUGACACCCUUCACAGAUCCUUCUAUUAUUUAAAAUAAAAAGAGUGGCUCAUAUUUUUUCCAUUAUUGGGCACUCUAUAUACAGAUGGUAGACAACCAAAAUGGGUACUACCGCCGCGCAUACCGCCGCGUUAACUGCAAGUCAGUCGCGUGUCAAAUUAAUUCGCGAAACUACCGCCAGGUGGCGCAAAGGGACGGAUUGCGAACUGAAUGUAAUUGUAAAAUGAGAUAAAACG